rnacentral:lncRNA from 1 species
UAAUAUAUUGCUAAAAAUGAAAUGAGACAUUUGUAAUGGACAUCCCAUUAUGAAAAGUAGGACAUUUAUAACGGGACGGGGGGAGUAUAAAUUAAUGUGAGAUAUUUUUAAUUAAUAGGAACGCACCAUGAAUAGAAAAAGAAAUAGAAAUUCAUGAGAAAAGUAGAAUGAGAAAAAGAAAGAAUAAAAAAAAAAUGCAAGCCAAAAUAGAAACAUCCG